AUGCCGCACGUACCUGAUGAUAGAUUAUGUAGGGUCAACGAUAAGCCCCUGUCCGUCGCUUAUGCAUAUGAAUCUGCUUUCUCAUCUAGACCGGAGGAUCUGUUCGCAGAUUUUAUCUGGGGGAAGAACUAUGCGACUAACCGCUGCAGGUUGUUUAUCUGGCUUGCGCACCGUGGGAGACUGUUCACCAACAAGCGUCGAUUCCGGCGGAACUUGACAGACUCUGACUCAUGCCCAUUCUGCACGUCAACUGAAUCAACGGCCCACAUGCUUCUCCACUGCUCUACUACUGUUGACGUCUGGUCGGCGGUCGACUCUCUUAACAUCAACCCUGCCGACUGUGCCUCCAUCGAAGAAUUGUCGGGGCUACAACCUCCUUGCAAGAUUCGCAACAUGGUUAUUAUGGCUAUUCUCUGGAGUCUAUGGCAAAGAAGAAAUGCUAAAGUCUUCAGAAGCGAGGAUGAAUCCAUAGGACUUGUCCUUCGACGUGCAGCUCAAGACAUUUUUCUUUUGUCCAGUAGAUGUGUAAACGCUGCUUGAAAGCAAAUUCUGCUUGAUUGGGGGAUCAUGUUGUCCCGGCUAGAUGUAGCAUAG
rnacentral:rRNA from 1 species